GUAGGGAAUAUUGCGCAAUGGACGAAAGUCUGACGCAGCGACGCCGCGUGAGUGAUGAAGGCCUUGGGGUCGUAAAGCUCUGUUGAAUGGGAAGAAAAAAAUGACGGUACCAUUCGAGGAAGGACCGGCUAACUUCGUGCCAGCAGCCGCGGUAAUACGAGGGGUCCUAGCGUUGUUCGGAAUCAUUGGGCGUAAAGGGUGUGUAGGUGGCCAUGUAAGUCAGGUGUGAAAGCCCCGGGCUCAACCCGGGAAGUGCACUUGAUACUGCGUGGCUUGAGUACCGAAGAGGGUAGUGGAAUUCCAGGUGUAGUGGUGAAAUACGUAGAUAUCUGGAGGAACACCGGUGGCGAAGGCGGCUACCUGGUCGAGUACUGACACUGAGACACGAAAGCAUGGGGAUCAAACAGGAUUAGAUACCCUAGUAGUCC
rnacentral:rRNA from 1 species